GUAGGACAAAAGACAAUUUGA
rnacentral:miRNA from 1 species